GCCAAAAAUCUAGCCCCCCCUAAACCCAUAAUGAAAACAAAUUAUAAGCCUAUAUUAAUUAAAACAUUUUAAAAACUUAGUAAAGGAGAUUGAAAAACUACUUAGGAGCUACAAAAUUAGUACCGCAAGGGAAAGAUGAAAUAUAAAUGAAACAAUACUUAAGCACAAAAAAGUAGAGAUUUAAUCUCGUACCUUUUGCAUCAUGGUUUAACUAGUUCAACCAAGCAGAAAGAAUUAAAGUUUGACUUCCCGAAACUAUGCGAGCUACUUCAAGGCAGCUUAUUGAGCUAACCCGUCUCUGUUGCAAAAGAGUGGGAUGACCUUCAAGUAGGGGUGACAGACCUACCGAGCUUAGUGAUAGCUGGUUACUCAAGAAAAGAAUUUAAGUCCAACCUAAAAUUAUACUUAUACUACUAAAUAAAACCCUAAUUUUAGAGCAAUUCAAAUAAGGUACAGCCUAUUUGAAGCAGGAUACAACCUAACCCAAAGGGUAAUACUAUAAUUUAAUUUAACCAAGUGGGCCUAAAAGCAGCCACCUUUUAAAUAGCGUCAAAGCUUAAUUAUAUCUUUAUAUAAUACCACAAUAACUUCAGAACCCUUCACUACUAUUGAGUAUUUCUAUACUUCUAUAGAACCUUUUAUGUUAAAACUAGUAACAAGAAGAAGAACUUCUCCUACAUGCAAGUGUACAUCAGCUAGGACAAACCACUGAUAAUUAACGCCUAUGAACAUCUAGUAGUAACACUACAAGAAAACCCUACUUCUUAUUGCGUUAAUCUAACACAAGAACAUGAACAGAAAGAUUAAAAGGAAAAGAAGGAACUCGGCAAACAUUAACCUCGCCUGUUUACCAAAAACAUCGCCUCUUGACUUGAUAUAAGAGGUCCAGCCUGCCCA
rnacentral:rRNA from 1 species